rnacentral:rRNA from 1 species
CCUACGGGAGGCAGCAGUGGGGAAUAUUGCACAAUGGGGGAAACCCUGAUGCAGCGACGCCGCGUGAGUGAAGAAGGAAUUCGGUAUGUAAAGCUCUAUCAGCAGGGAAGAAAAUGACGGUACCUGAGUAAGAAGCCCCGGCUAACUACGUGCCAGCAGCCGCGGUAAUACUGGGGAUGCAAGCGCUAACCGGGGAUAUGGGGUUUAAAGGGUUCGCAGGCUGGGAGGUAAGUCAGCGGUGAAAUGCCCCGGCUCAACGGGGUGAAGUGCCCUUGAUACUGCCUUGCUGGAAUGCGGAUGGCGAGGGAGGAAUGUGUGGUGUAGCGGUGAAAUGCAUAGAUAUCACACAGAACACCGAUUGCGAAGGCAGCUCACGAACCCGCGAUUGACGCUGAGGCACGAAAGCGUGGGUAUCAAACAGGAUUAGAUACCCUAGUAGUC